rnacentral:rRNA from 2 species
UUAAGCGACUAAGCGUACACGGUGGAUGCCCUGGCAGUCAGAGGCGAUGAAGGACGUGCUAAUCUGCGAUAAGCGUCGGUAAGGUGAUAUGAACCGUUAUAACCGGCGAUUUCCGAAUGGGGAAACCCAGUGUGAUUCGUCACACUAUCAUUAACUGAAUCCAUAGGUUAAUGAGGCGAACCGGGGGAACUGAAACAUCUAAGUACCCCGAGGAAAAGAAAUCAACCGAGAUUCCCCCAGUAGCGGCGAGCGAACGGGGAGCAGCCCAGAGCCUGAAUCAGUGUGUGUGUUAGUGGAAGCGUCUGGAAAGGCGCGCGAUACAGGGUGACAGCCCCGUACACAAAAAUGCACAUGCUGUGAGCUCGAUGAGUAGGGCGGGACACGUGGUAUCCUGUCUGAAUAUGGGGGGACCAUCCUCCAAGGCUAAAUACUCCUGACUGACCGAUAGUGAACCAGUACCGUGAGGGAAAGGCGAAAAGAACCCCGGCGAGGGGAGUGAAAAAGAACCUGAAACCGUGUACGUACAAGCAGUGGGAGCACGCUUAGGCGUGUGACUGCGUACCUUUUGUAUAAUGGGUCAGCGACUUAUAUUCUGUAGCAAGGUUAACCGAAUAGGGGAGCCGAAGGGAAACCGAGUCUUAACUGGGCGUUAAGUUGCAGGGUAUAGACCCGAAACCCGGUGAUCUAGCCAUGGGCAGGUUGAAGGUUGGGUAACACUAACUGGAGGACCGAACCGACUAAUGUUGAAAAAUUAGCGGAUGACUUGUGGCUGGGGGUGAAAGGCCAAUCAAACCGGGAGAUAGCUGGUUCUCCCCGAAAGCUAUUUAGGUAGCGCCUCGUGAAUUCAUCUCCGGGGGUAGAGCACUGUUUCGGCAAGGGGGUCAUCCCGACUUACCAACCCGAUGCAAACUACGAAUACCGGAGAAUGUUAUCACGGGAGACACACGGCGGGUGCUAACGUCCGUCGUGAAGAGGGAAACAACCCAGACCGCCAGCUAAGGUCCCAAAGUCAUGGUUAAGUGGGAAACGAUGUGGGAAGGCCCAGACAGCCAGGAUGUUGGCUUAGAAGCAGCCAUCAUUUAAAGAAAGCGUAAUAGCUCACUGGUCGAGUCGGCCUGCGCGGAAGAUGUAACGGGGCUAAACCAUGCACCGAAGCUGCGGCAGCGACGCUUAUGCGUUGUUGGGUAGGGGAGCGUUCUGUAAGCCUGCGAAGGUGUGCUGUGAGGCAUGCUGGAGGUAUCAGAAGUGCGAAUGCUGACAUAAGUAACGAUAAAGCGGGUGAAAAGCCCGCUCGCCGGAAGACCAAGGGUUCCUGUCCAACGUUAAUCGGGGCAGGGUGAGUCGACCCCUAAGGCGAGGCCGAAAGGCGUAGUCGAUGGGAAACAGGUUAAUAUUCCUGUACUUGGUGUUACUGCGAAGGGGGGACGGAGAAGGCUAUGUUGGCCGGGCGACGGUUGUCCCGGUUUAAGCGUGUAGGCUGGUUUUCCAGGCAAAUCCGGAAAAUCAAGGCUGAGGCGUGAUGACGAGGCACUACGGUGCUGAAGCAACAAAUGCCCUGCUUCCAGGAAAAGCCUCUAAGCAUCAGGUAACAUCAAAUCGUACCCCAAACCGACACAGGUGGUCAGGUAGAGAAUACCAAGGCGCUUGAGAGAACUCGGGUGAAGGAACUAGGCAAAAUGGUGCCGUAACUUCGGGAGAAGGCACGCUGAUAUGUAGGUGAAGUCCCUCGCGGAUGGAGCUGAAAUCAGUCGAAGAUACCAGCUGGCUGCAACUGUUUAUUAAAAACACAGCACUGUGCAAACACGAAAGUGGACGUAUACGGUGUGACGCCUGCCCGGUGCCGGAAGGUUAAUUGAUGGGGUUAGCGCAAGCGAAGCUCUUGAUCGAAGCCCCGGUAAACGGCGGCCGUAACUAUAACGGUCCUAAGGUAGCGAAAUUCCUUGUCGGGUAAGUUCCGACCUGCACGAAUGGCGUAAUGAUGGCCAGGCUGUCUCCACCCGAGACUCAGUGAAAUUGAACUCGCUGUGAAGAUGCAGUGUACCCGCGGCAAGACGGAAAGACCCCGUGAACCUUUACUAUAGCUUGACACUGAACAUUGAGCCUUGAUGUGUAGGAUAGGUGGGAGGCUUUGAAGUGUGGACGCCAGUCUGCAUGGAGCCGACCUUGAAAUACCACCCUUUAAUGUUUGAUGUUCUAACGUGGACCCGUAAUCCGGGUUGCGGACAGUGUCUGGUGGGUAGUUUGACUGGGGCGGUCUCCUCCUAAAGAGUAACGGAGGAGCACGAAGGUUGGCUAAUCCUGGUCGGACAUCAGGAGGUUAGUGCAAUGGCAUAAGCCAGCUUGACUGCGAGCGUGACGGCGCGAGCAGGUGCGAAAGCAGGUCAUAGUGAUCCGGUGGUUCUGAAUGGAAGGGCCAUCGCUCAACGGAUAAAAGGUACUCCGGGGAUAACAGGCUGAUACCGCCCAAGAGUUCAUAUCGACGGCGGUGUUUGGCACCUCGAUGUCGGCUCAUCACAUCCUGGGGCUGAAGUAGGUCCCAAGGGUAUGGCUGUUCGCCAUUUAAAGUGGUACGCGAGCUGGGUUUAGAACGUCGUGAGACAGUUCGGUCCCUAUCUGCCGUGGGCGCUGGAGAAUUGAGGGGGGCUGCUCCUAGUACGAGAGGACCGGAGUGGACGCAUCACUGGUGUUCGGGUUGUCAUGCCAAUGGCACUGCCCGGUAGCUAAAUGCGGAAGAGAUAAGUGCUGAAAGCAUCUAAGCACGAAACUUGCCCCGAGAUGAGUUCUCCCUGACUCCUUGAGAGUCCUGAAGGAACGUUGAAGACGACGACGUUGAUAGGCCGGGUGUGUAAGCGCAGCGAUGCGUUGAGCUAACCGGUACUAAUGAACCGUGAGGCUUAACCUU